CACCGACUGAGAUGAGGUUCUUCAUUGGGGGAUCUGGACAGCGCUGUGCAACUGCACGUCUUACGAAACAUUAAACAAGACAGGAAGGAAUGAGAAGAAUGGAGGAUGUGGAGCUGCUUUACCUGUACGACAGUCUUGCCGAUCAUCAGGGAAAGCACAUAUAUUCCUGGGACUUCAGCUUCCAUCAUCUUCUUUAUUGCACCCAUGCUCAGUGGAUUGCAACAACUGUCUCCUGCAAAAACAAAUGAACAAAUAACAGUGAUAAUUAGCAUUGAUCUCAGUAGCUCAAGAGCGGAUGUGUGUCUCACUCACCCAUGCCGUGCCAUAUCACCAGAGGGACUGUGGCAUUAUCUCCCCACGAGGAGCCACACAGCAGCAGCAGACACCCAGACACAGAGA